rnacentral:rRNA from 1 species
UUACUAAACUGUUACUGACGCUGAUGCACGAAAGCGUGGGGAGCGAACAGGAUUAGAUACCCUGGUAGUCCACGCCGUAAACGAUGCUCACUCGCUGUUUGCGAUACACAGCAAGCGGCCAAGCGAAAGCAUUAAGUGAGCCACCUGGGGAGUACGAUCGCAAGGUUGAAACUCAAAGGAAUUGACGGGGGGCCCGCACAAGCGGAGGAACAUGUGGUUUAAUUCGAUGAUACGCGAGGGAACCUUACCUGGGCUUAAAUGUAGAGCGACAGAUUGUGAAAGCAGUCCUUCUUCGGACGAUCUACAAGGUGCUGCAUGGUUGUCGUCAGCUCGUGCCGUGAGGUGUCGGGUUAAGUCCCAUAACGAGCGCAACCCUUAUCGUUAGUUGCCAGCGGGGUUAAGCCGGGGACUCUAGCGAGACUGCCACCGUAAGUGUGAGGAAAGUGGGGAUGACGUCAAAUCAGCACGCCCUUAUGUCCAGGGCUACACACGUGUUACAAUGGCCGAUACAAAGGGCAGCUACCUGGUGACUGGAUGCUAAUCUCCAAAGUCGGUCUCAGUUCGGAUCGAAGUCUGCAACCCGACUUCGUGAAGCUGGAUUCGCUAGUAAUCGCAUAUCAGCCAUGAUGCGGUGAAUACGUUCCCGGGCCUUGUACACACCGCCCGUCAAACAAUGGAAGCUGGGGGUACCUGAAGUCUGUAACCGCAAGGAGCGGCCUAGGGUAAAACUAGUAACUGGUGUUAAGUCGUAACAAGGUAA